rnacentral:rRNA from 1 species
GCUGGACCCUCCUUCUAGAUGCACAAAAUACUAGUGAAUUCGAUUCCUGCUGGAGCUAGAUCAUAUCGGAGGGCCUCCGAGCACGUUGGGUGUAUAGUUUGAGUGUUCUAGAGGGGUCUCCUAGGUAACUUGGCGUAAUCCCGGCCAUAGCAGUUUCCUGAGGCAUCACUUUUACAUUAAAAUUACGGUGGUAAUAGAUGAGUAUGCGUCCCAUUAGUUAGUUGGUAAGGUAACGGCUUACCAAGGCAGCGAUGGGUAGGGGUCCUGAGAGGGAGAUCCCCCACACUGGUACUGAGACACGGACCAGACUCCUACGGGAGGCAAGCAGUGAGGAAUAUUGGACAAUGGAGGCAACUCUGAUCCACCAUGCCGGUCAGGAAGACUGCCCUUGGGUUGGAACUGCUUUACAGAGGAAAACCCCACCCCCUGUGGGUGUUUGCCGGGCUUUCGAAUAAGGAUUGGUUAAUUCCGUCCCAAGCCCGGUAAUCCUGAGGAUCCAAGCGUUUCCCGAAAUAUUGGGUUUAAAAGGGUCCC